CUGAGUCAUAAACAGUUGGUCAGGGAAAACAAAAGAAUACUAUCCCAUGGCAAGUGGAAUUCUAGCUUCCGCAAAGAACAUUUUAUUGGAACACAGCCUGUUCCUCUGUGUCCUGCACGAGGGCUUUCCUGCUCCAACGGCGGAGCGAAACAGCUGUGACCCAGACCUUCUGACCCACAAAGCCAAAAACAGCCACGAUCGGACUCUUGAUGGAGAAGUGUGCCGACCCCGUCCUGGACAAAUUCACCUGCAGAUGUUCAGAGGAGCACUGUUUAUAAAAGCCAAAAAGUGGAAGAAACCCAAACAUCUGCAGAUGGGUGAACGGAUAGGCAAAUGUGAUCUGUACAUCUCCUGGGAUGUAUUUCCCUGGGAAGGUAAGCAAGUCCUGCCGUGUGCCACAACGUGGAUACACCUGAAAACAAGCUGAGGGCAAGCAGCCCACAC
rnacentral:lncRNA from 1 species